rnacentral:rRNA from 1 species
AUUGAACGCUGGCGGCAUGCUUUACACAUGCAAGUCGAACGGUAACAGGCCGCAAGGUGCUGACGAGUGGCGAACGGGUGAGUAAUGCAUCGGAACGUGCCCAGUCGUGGGGGAUAACGCAGCGAAAGCUGCGCUAAUACCGCAUACGAUCUAUGGAUGAAAGCGGGGGACCGUAAGGCCUCGCGCGAUUGGAGCGGCCGAUGUCAGGUUAGGUAGUUGGUGGGGUAAAGGCUCACCAAGCCAACGAUCUGUAGCUGGUCUGAGAGGACGCCCAGCCACACUGGGACUGAGACACGGCCCAGACUCCUACGGGAGGCAGCAGUGGGGAAUUUUGGACAAUGGGCGCAAGCCUGAUCCAGCAAUGCCGCGUGCAGGAAGAAGGCCUUCGGGUUGUAAACUGCUUUUGUACGGAACGAAAAGGCUCUGGUUAAUACCUGGGGCUCAUGACGGUACCGUAAGAAUAAGCACCGGCUAACUACGUGCCAGCCGCCGCGGUAAGAC